rnacentral:rRNA from 1 species
GAUGAACGCUGGCGGCGUGCCUAAUACGUGCAAGUCGAGCGAACGGACGAGAAGCUUGCUUCUCUGAUGUUAGCGGCGGACGGGUGAGUAACACGUGGAUAACCUACCUAUAAGACUGGGAUAACUUCGGGAAACCGGAGCUAAUACCGGAUGAUAUUUUGAACCGCAUGGUUCAAAAGUGAAAGACGCUCUUGCUGUCCCUUAUAGAUGGAUCCGCGCUGCAUUAGCUAGUUGGUAAGGUAAUGGCUUACCAAGUCAACGAUCCAUAGCCGACCUGGGCGGGGGACAGGCCACACUGGGACUGAGACACGGGCCAGACUCGUACGGGAGGCAGCAGUAGGGAAUCUUGCGCAAUGGGCGAAAGCCUGACGGAGCAACGCCGCGUGGGUGAUGAAGGUCUUCGGAUCGUAAAGCUCUGUUAUUAGGGAAGAACAUAUGUGUAAGUAACUGUGCACAUCUUGACGGUACCUAAUCAGAAAGCAACGGCUAACUACGUG